UAUUAAUAAGCGGAGGAAAAGAAACUAACAAGGAUUCCCUUAGUAACGGCGAGCGAAAAGGGAAGAGCCCAGCGCUGAAUCUAAAGUCCCCCGGGCUUUAAGACAUGUAGCGUUUGGGACGGGACAUUACCUGUACUCGGUGGUUAUCYAAGUCCCUCUUGAAGGGGGCCAUAGCCCAUGGAGGGUGCUAGGCCCGUACGAUGACUAGUGAAUGAGUACAGUGUGUUUCGUCCGUAGAGUCGAGUUGCUUGGGAGUGCAGCUCAAAUCAGGUGGUAAACUCCAUCUAAGGCUAAAUAUGACCACGAGACCGAUAGCGAACAAGUACCGUGAGGGAAAGUUGAAAAGAACUUUGAAGAGAGAGUUCAAUAGUACGUGAAACCUCUCGGGGGUAAGCGGGCAGAACUUGCAAGUAUUUUGUCAGAAAGAUUCAGGCUUAGCCGAGGUGACUGAGGAUUUAUUUAUUGUGUGACUCGUUCGCGGGUUGCUAAUGUGAGUUCUCUGUUUUGCUUUGAAUGCGCCGCAUUUCUUUUUGACAAUCGGGUUGCGAGCAACUGAAAAUGUGGUAAUUUAUGUGCUAUGUGAUACUGCAAAUCCUCGUGGUUUGAGUACACCAAGUAACUAAUUACUGUUGCGGUUGUAUUAAUAAAAGCAAAUAGGCUCUUGUGGCGGUCAAACUUUUUUACAAGUGUUGUAUGUACUGUCUGUGGACGGGUAACCGUAGCUUGUGGUACAUGCGAAUUGUUGGUGAAGRAGUAUUGGCACUAUUUGUGUGAAUUGCAAUCUAAAGAAUGCGUGGUCUGCCUGU
rnacentral:rRNA from 1 species